rnacentral:misc_RNA from 1 species
UGGUGGCUGAGCAGAAUGCCUGUCGUUACGAAGCGGAACAUUUACCACGCGCUCGCCGUGUGCUACAGGCAGUUGAGCGCGCCGCCGCCCAGCUAUUGGCACCAGCCGAGCGCAGACCCGCUCCUGGCGAUCACCGUGGGCCAGCUAGUGGACAGCGCCGCAGACCGCUUCGGCUCCCGGGAGGCGCUCGUCUCCUGCCACCAGGGCGUGCGGCUCACCUUCAGCGAGGUCAAGCGCCGGGUGGACCGCCUGGCGGCUGGCCUGCUGGACGCUGGGCUGCGGCGCGGGGACCGGCUGGCGCUGUGGGGCGGCAACUCGGCCGAGUGGUACCUGGCCGCGCUGGCCGCCGGGCGCGCCGGCAUGGUGCUCGUCUGCGCCAACCCCGCCUACGAGGUCGCCGAGUUCCGCUACUGCCUCAACAAGGUGGGGGCCCGCGGCGUGGUGGCGGCAGAGGCGUGCUACCCCAAGGUGGAGAGGAUGGCGCCGCAGCUGUCCUACAGCCCGCCGGGCGACCUGCAGUGCGCCGACGUGCCGGACCUCGCCACCGUCGUCUUCAUGGAGGGCGAGCGCAAACGAGGAGCCUUCCAACUGAGAGAGCUGAUGGACUCCGCGACGAGGGGCUCCCUGGGCGUGAUCACCAACCAGCAGCUCUCCAUACAGCCAGACGACGGCUGCAACAUCCUCUUCACCUCCGGAACGACGGCGAAACCAAAGGCAGCCAUCUUGACUCACCACAAUAUAAUCAACAAUUCUUACUUCGUUGGAAAACGCAUGCAGUUUGACGAAAAGCACCACCGUAUCUGCCUGCAAGUGCCACUGUUCCACUGCUAUGGCUUCUGCAGUGGAGUGUUGGCCGCCCUGCACCAUGGUGCCACUGUCGUCCUGCCAUCGCUGUAUUUCAACCCUAAGGCUUCCCUAGACGCUAUCGAGAAAGAAAAGUGCACCGUGGUAUAUGGCACACCUACCAUGUACGUUGACCUGGUCGCCGAGCGAGACUUCGAGGAUCGCCGGUUCGAGACCCUGGAGACGGCGGUCAGCAGCGGCUCACCCAUCUCCCAUCCGCUGUUCCUCGAGCUGCAGCGCAAGUUCGGCGUCCGGAAAGUUGGCUCUCUGUACGGUCUGACGGAGACGAGCCCCGUCGUCUUCCAGUCUCAGCCAACCGACUCGGAGGAUCAGAUGCUCAACACCGUGGGAGCCGUCUCGCAGCACGUCGAGGUGAAGGUGGUGGACGAGCAGCGCAAAGUUGUGCCCAUGGGGACUGUGGGCGAGCUGUGUGUGCGUGGCUACGUCACCGUGGCGCGAUACUGGUCAGACGAGGAGAGCACGCGCAGACUCUACUACCGCGAGCGCUGGCUUCGCACAGGGUCUUUGGAGUUCCACAUGAGAGAUGGGGAGAACAGAUAUGCGCCUGCAUACGUCUGAAGAGGGGCUCCACUUUGACAUCUGAUGCAGUACGAGAGUUUGCAAGUGGUAAAAUUUCAGACUUCAAGAUUCCAUCCAUAAUAGAAAUAGUGGAUGAACUACCGAGAAAUCCUUCAGGAAAGAUCCAGACUCUGCAGCUGCGUGAAGCAGUGAUGGAAAAGUAUGGAAUAAAAGAUGUAGCAAUAUAUGGCUGGU